GGGUCAGUAGGUUGGUCGUGCCACCGGUACGUACUGGUCUCACUGAUUCCUCCUUCCUGAAGAACCGUAAUGCCAUUAAUUUGGUGUUGCGGGGAAACAGGACUGUUACUUUGAAAAAAUUAGAGUGUUUAAAGCAAGCUAACGCUUGAAUACAAUAGCAUGGAAUAACGAAAUAGGACGAUCGAUCCUAUUUUGUUGGUUUCUAGGAUUGACGUA
rnacentral:rRNA from 1 species